rnacentral:rRNA from 1 species
GACGAACGCUGGCGGCGUGCUUAACACAUGCAAGUCGAGCGGUAAGGCCCUUCGGGUACACGAGCGGCGAACGGGUGAGUAAUCACGUGGGUGGCCUGCCCUUCACUCUGGGAUAAGCCUGGGAAACUGGGUCUAAUACCGGAUAUGACCUGCUCUCGCAUGGGGGUUGGUGAAAGUCAGUGUUGUAGUGAUGCUGGCGGUGGUGGAUGGGCCCCGCGGUACUAUCAGUCNGGUUUGGUGGGUGAUGGCCUACCAAGGCGACGACGGAUAGCCGGCCUGAGAGGGCGACCGGCACACUGGGACUGAGACACGGCCCAGACUCC